rnacentral:lncRNA from 1 species
CUUCUCCAAACCUGCAACACUCGUCUUGAAAGCAUUGGCCAUCAUAUUCAAAUCAACCGAGACAAAUGGGUGGGUAUACUGGAUUAAAGCUUUGUUACGGAUUUGAUCAUACAGCGUCUCGACAUGGUCAUGCAAAUGGAUGUCAAGCAACAGAUUUGCUUUAAGAUUUCCUAGAUACUCCAGACAAGAAGCAUAGUGACUGCAUCAUAGAUAAAAAUGUAUAUCAACCGAGACAAAUGGGUGUGUGUACUGGAUUAAAGCUUUGUUACGGAUUUGAUCAUACAGUGUCUCGACAUGGUCAUGCAAAUGGAUGUCAAGCAACAGAUUUGCUUUAAGAUUUCCUAGAUACUCCAGACAAGAAGCAUAGUGAC